GCCGAGGUAGCUAAGCGGACUAAAGCGCCGGCCUUGAGAGCCGGUGUCCCUCGCGGGACACAAGGGUUCAAAUCCCUUCCUCGGCG
rnacentral:tRNA from 1 species